rnacentral:lncRNA from 1 species
GUUCGGAUCUGUACAUUUUAAUGUUUGCAGUUAUGUUCCAAUUUGAAAAUUCUUCUUUAAGGUAGAAAUCUACCACCCGAAAGGAUUAGAAUGCAUGCUCCUCAUCUUGAUAGCUGUAUCUCUGUGUUCAACAUGGCUGCCAUAAACUGGAUAUUGAUAUCUAUGAGUAAGUUAUCGACAUUUCCUUAGAACCCUAUCUACUUUGUAUUUUUCUUGCAUGUCUAAUUUAUGCCUAUGUAAUAUAGAUAUCAAGUAAUGAAACCAUAUCAUUCAUUCUAUAAAUAUGCUUUUUCCUUAUCAAUUUCUGUU